rnacentral:tRNA from 2 species
CGGUCUUGUAAACCGAAGGUCGAGGGUUAAACUCCCCCCUACUGCUCAAAGAAGGAGGAAUUUAACCCCCGCC